rnacentral:rRNA from 1 species
AUUGAACGCUGGCGGCAGGCUUUACACAUGCAAGUCGGACGAGUGGCGAACGGGUGAGUAAUAUAUCGGAACGUACCGAGUAAUGGGGGAUAACUAAUGGAAAGAGUAGCUAAUACCGCAUACUAUUCGAGCGGCCGAUAUCGGAUUAGGUAGUUGGUGGGGUAAAGGCCUACCAAGGCGACGAUCAGUAGCGGGUCUGAGAGGAUGAACCGCCACACCGGGACUGAGACACGGCCCCGACUCCUACGGGAGGCAGCAGUGGGGAAUGUUGCACAAUGGGCGCAAGCCUGAUGCAGCCAUGCCGCGUGUCUGAAGAAGGCCUUCGGGUUGUAAAGGUCUUUUGUCAGGGAAGCGGUACCUGAAGAAUAAGCACCGGCUAACUCCGUGCCAGCAGCCGCGGUAAUAC